GACACAGUCAGAGAGAAGACACGCUGGGUCUCGGCUCGACUCCGCUCCACUCUCCUCCGUGAGCAGGUGCCCUAUAAACCCUGCAAAGAGGAAAAGUUGGAUAUCUAAGGGUCUAGGGCCUUUCCAGAAAGACAGGCAGACAAUAACUAAGAGAGAAGAUGGUGCAGAGCUAUAGAGCGGCUAAAGCGGGUGAAGGCAGCCGCGCAGUGAGCACUCUGAGCGGGCACAAGCAGCGACUGGGCGCUGAUGAAUCACGAGAGCGGCCGCUGGAUGAGAGCGUGCCCGGGAAGAGCGUCUGUGCGCCGGGUAUGUGAGAAUCCGCUCUGGAUGAACACGGAACUCUGGAUGUGUGUCGAAUGGAAACGAAGACUGAGAGACACCAGCGUUUAAGUUUCUUGCCUGUAAAUCUCUGCUCUGCUGGGGAGAUAAAACGGCCCAAAUGAAACGAAGACGCAUGUCAAGCAUGGCGGUGAUAAUUGGAUUGUGUGGACACCUGUAUGAGUGCAGUAUAUCCAGGGGAUUAGAGGACUGGAUGGGUCUUGCAGCUUCUGUCCAAACCUGUGGGUCCAGUUGUAUCCAGGACAUGUCCCUUGAUUGCCUCAGCUAAAUUCUCCUGCUUUUGUCAUCUACUGGAGGGCCGGACCUGCACGCUGGUGACCGCAGUGUCAGCAAACGAGCUGCAUCAACCUCCCAGUGAACGCAAGACUCGGAUCUGUGCUGAAAUUAUUGUGUAUAUAAAAGAUACUUUUGCCACUAUGUCGUGUGUGACUCGUUUCAUUAAAAAUAAUUCAUGUUUUGUUAUUUAAAAUAUUAUAAUACAAGAUAACUGCUUUCAAAAAACAAUCUUUACUAAUCUCUCUUUGAUAGCAUAAACUCUUGUUCUUUGUUUGAUACAUCAA